rnacentral:rRNA from 1 species
UACAGAGGGGGCAAGCGUUAUUCGGAAUUACUGGGCGUAAAGGGUUUGUAGGUGGUCUGCUAAGUCAGACGUGAAAUCCCUCAGCUUAACUGGGGAACUGCGUCUGAUACUGGCGGACUUGAGGACAGGAGAGGAACGCGGAAUUCCAGGUGUAGCGGUGAAAUGCGUAGAUAUCUGGAGGAACACCGGUGGCGAAGGCGGCGUUCUGGACUGUUUCUGACACUGAAAAACGAAAGCCAGGGGAGCAAACGGG